GCUUUUAUGGUGUAAAAAAACACUUUACAUUUUCGCUGUAACAAUAAAGUUAAACUUUUAAAAGCU
rnacentral:tRNA from 1 species